UGCGUGCUCUCGGCGCGGGUUGGUGACGUCUUUGGUGGCGCGACGCGACGACGCGGUGGAGUGGUGCAGCGCUUUCUGUAGCUCCGCCUUGGUCCUCCCGCAUGGCGCGGCCCUGAGGGGACGAUGACCGACCAGGAGAACAACAACAGCAUCUCUAGCAACCCCUUCGCCGCCCUCUUCGGUUCUAUUGCUGACGCCAAGCAGUUCGUCGCCGUCCAGAAGCAGCAGCAGCAGCAGCGGCGGCAGCUAACAGGUGAGGAUGCAUUACCUAGUCAAGAUGACUCUGACAACAGCGUCUCAGAGAGCCUGGACGAGUGUGACUACUCGGUGGCAGAGAUCAGCCGCUCGUUCCGCUCGCAGCGGGAGCUGUGCGAGCAGCUCAACAUCAACCACAUGAUCCAGAGGAUCUUUCUCAUCACCCUUGAUAACAGUGACCCCAGCAUGAAGAGUGGGAAUGGGAUCCCAGCACGCUGCGUCUACCUGGAGGAAAUGGCUGCAGACCUGGAUGACCAGGACUGGCUGGACAUGGAUAACGUGGAGCAGGCCCUGUUCACCCGCCUGCUGCUGCAGGAGCCAGGGAACCACCUCAUCCACAUGACCUCCUCCAGCACCCAGAAUCUCUCUGCUGACCGGGAUGCCGGGGAGAGACAGAUCCUACGCUACCUCUAUGCCUGUUUCCAGAGGGCUAGAGAAGAGAUCACCAAGGUGCCCGAGAACUUGCUGCCCUUUGCUGUGCGCUGCCGGAACCUGACGGUGUCCAACGCCCGGACCAUCCUCCUCACCCCAGAGAUUUACGUCCACCAGAAUGUGUAUGAGCAGCUGGUGGAAAUGCUCCUGGAGGCACUGAGAGGGGCAUACUUUGAAGCUGUGGCUGAGUUCCUGGAGGAGGUGAUCGAAGCCCUGAGAAUGGACGAGGAGGUACGGACCUUUGGGGAGGUGAUGGUGCCCGUGCUUGAUAUCCUCCUGGGCAGGGUCAGGGAUCUUGAUCUCUGCCAGAUCCUGCUGUACACAUACCUUGAUGUGCUGCUCUACUUCACCAAGCAGAAGGACAUAGCCCAGGUUUUUGUAGGCUAUGUCCAGCCCAAAGACCCCAGCAAUGGGCAGAUGUACCAGAAGACUCUGCUGGGCAGCAUUUUGAACAUCUCCUGCCUGUUGAAGACCCCUGGGGUGGUGGAGAACCACAGCUAUUUCCUAAACCCCUCUCGAUCCAGCCCCCAGGAGAUCAAAGUGCAGGAAUCCAAUAUCCACCAGUUCAUGGCCCAGUUCCAUGAGAAGAUCUACCAGAUGCUUAAGAACCUGCUGCAGUUGUCUCCAGAGACAAAGCACAGGGUUUUGUCCUGGCUGGGAAACUGCCUCCAGGCCAAUGCAGGCCGCACCAAGAUCUGGGCCAACCAGAUGCCAGAGAUCUUCUUCCAGAUGUAUGCCUCAGAUGCCUUCUUUCUCAACCUGGGAGCUGCCCUCCUCAGGCUGUGCCAGCCCUUCUGCAAACCAAACUCCCCCCGGCUGCUGAGUUUUGACCCUACCUACUGUGCCCUGAAGGAGCUGAACGAAGAGGAGAGGAGAAGCAAGAACGUCCACGUGAAAGAUCUGGAGAAGGAAACAUGCUUGAUUCCUGCUCUGGGCCAGCAAGAGCCUGAGUUUGCCAACAGCUACAACCUGGUGACAGAAAACCUGGUCCUCACACAGUACACCCUUCACUUGGGGUUCCACAGGUUGCAUGACCAGAUGGUGAAGAUGAACCAAAGCCUCCACCGCCUGCAAGUGGCGUGGCGAGAAGCUCAGCAGAGCUCCAGCCCUGCUGCCGACAGCCUGCGGGAGCAGUUUGAGCGCCUCAUGACCAUCUAUCUCUCCACAAAGACAGCGAUGACAGAGCCACAGAUGCUGCAGAACUGCCUGAACCUGCAGGUGUCCAUGGCUGUCCUGCUGGUACAGCUGGCCCUGGGGAACCGUGGAACAGAGCCGCUCCAACUAAGCUUCCCCCUGCCAGAGGUGGAGAACAGUGCCUUGGCCUACGUGCCAGAGUUCUUUGCUGAUAACCUGGGUGACUUCUUCAUCUUCCUGAGACGUUUUGCUGAUGACAUCUUGGAGACCUCUGCUGAUUCUCUGGAGCAUGUCCUCCACUUCGUUACCGUUUUCAUGGGUGAUGUGGAAAGGAUGAAAAACCCUCACCUGCGAGCCAAGCUGGCAGAGGUGUUGGAGGCCGUGAUGCCUCACUUGGACCAGGCCCAGAGUCCACUUAUCUCCAGUGUGUUCCAUCGCAAGCGUGUGUUCUGCUCGUACCCAAAUGCUGCCCACCUGGCUGAAGCCCUCAUCAAAGUGUUUGUGGACAUUGAGUUCACAGGUGACCCACACCAGUUUGAGCAGAAGUUCAACUACCGCCGCCCCAUGUACCCUAUCCUGAGGUACAUGUGGGGCACUGACUCGUACCGGCAGAGCAUCAAGGCUCUGGCUGAUUACGCUUCAGAGAACCUGGAGGCAAUGAACCCCCCGCUCUUCCUGCGCUUCCUGAACCUGCUGAUGAAUGAUGCCAUUUUCCUGCUGGAUGAAGCCAUACAGUACCUCAGCAAGAUCAAAGUUCAGCAGAUCGAGAAGGAUCGUGGUGAGUGGGACAGUCUGUCCCAGGAGGCUCGCCGGGAGAAGGAGUCCAGCCUGCAGAUGUUUGGCCAGCUGGCCCGCUUCCACAACAUCAUGUCCAAUGAAACCAUUGGCACUCUGGCCUUCCUGACCUCAGAAAUUAAGUCCCUGUUUGUGCAUCCUUUCCUUGCUGAGCGCAUCAUCUCCAUGCUCAACUACUUCUUGCAACACUUGGUUGGGCCUAAAAUGGGAGCUCUGAAAGUCAAGGAUUUCAGUGAAUUUGAUUUCAAGCCACAGCAGCUUGUGUCAGACAUCUGUACCAUCUACCUGAACCUCGGGGAUGAAGAAAACUUCUGUGCCACAGUGCCCAAGGAUGGCCGCUCCUACUCGCCCACGCUCUUUGCCCAGACUGUUCGGGUCCUAAAGAAGAUCAACAAGCCUGGCAACAUGAUAGUGUCCUUCAGUAACCUUGCUGAAAGGAUCAAGUCUCUUGCAGACCGCCAGCAGCAGGAGGAGGAGACGUAUGCAGAUGCCUGUGAUGAAUUCCUGGAUCCGAUCAUGAGCACUCUGAUGUCAGACCCUGUGAUCCUGCCCUCCUCCCGGGUCACUGUGGACCGUUCCACUAUUGCCCGGCACCUCCUCAGUGACCAGACGGAUCCUUUCAACCGGAGCCCCCUCACUAUGGACCAGAUCAGACCAAACACAGAGCUCAAAGAGAAGAUCCAGCGGUGGCUUGCAGAGAGGAAGAAGCAGAAGGAGGAGCUGCAGGAUUCACUGAACUGAACACCAGGAUCUCAGUUAUGGGCGAGAGAAAGGCCUUGCAGGGGCAGCAGCUGGAGCGGUGGAGCAACUCAACUGAAACUGCAUUAGUGCAUUGCCAUGGCCUCUGGAGCCUCUCCUAGGCCCUUCUGUUCCAUCCCUUCUGUCUUUUCCUUUCAAGACUUACUCUUUAGUGCUAAGACUUUCCACUGCACUACAGCUUUGAGCCUCUGCCUCGAGGGAAGACCACAGCCUGGUGCCCUCAGCCCUCUCUUUGUGGUCUUCUCCAGCGACACCAAAAACCUCCCUCCGUUCUCUUGCUGUGUUGAAACCCUGUAACUGUAUGCGAAGGCAAUGCCUCCGCAGCUGCUCCCCCGGUUGGACGGCACGGACGGGAGGGGGACGGUUUAUCCCACCGCCUGGCGGUAGAAGUCUGGACGCGGGGAGGCUCUAGGUGUAGAAAAGCCUCUUAGCUUCUGCGUGGAGGCCGUAGAAGAGGGAGGAAGCUGGGUCGGUCCCCCGUGAUCCGGCAGCGGGAACG